UUGGAGGGCAAGUCUGGUGCCAGCAGCCGCGGUAAUUCCAGCUCCAAUAGCGUAUAUUAAAGUUGUUGCAGUUAAAAAGCUCGUAGUUGAAUUUCGAGAUCAGUACGCUGGUCGUGCCUUUGGUAUGCACUGGUGUCACUGGUUUCUCCCUUCUGAAGAACUGUCAUGCCAUUCAGUUGGUGUGGCGGGGAAUCAGGACUGUUACUUUGAAAAAAUUAGAGUGUUUAAAGCAGGCUCGCGCUUGAAUACAUUAGCAUGGAAUAAUGAAAUAGGACGUUUGACCCUAUUUUGUUGGUUUCUAGGAUCGACGUAAUGAUUAAUAGGGAUAGUUGGGGGCAUUAGUAUUCAAUUGUCAGAGGUGAAAUUCUUGGAUUUAUUGAAGACUAACUACUGCGAAAGCAUUUGCCAAGGAUGUUUUCAUUAAUCAAGAACGAAAGUUAGGGGAUCGAAGACGAUCAGAUACCGUCGUAGUCUUAACCAUAAACUAUGCCGACUAGGGAUCGGAUGAUGUUAAUUUUUUAAUGACUCAUUCGGCGCCUUACGGGAAAC
rnacentral:rRNA from 1 species